UACGAAGGGGGCUAGCGUUGCUCGGAAUCACUGGGCGUAAAGGGCGCGUAGGCGGCGUUUUAAGUCGGGGGUGAAAGCCUGUGGCUCAACCACAGAAUGGCCUUCGAUACUGGGACGCUUGAGUAUGGUAGAGGUUGGUGGAACUGCGAGUGUAGAGGUGAAAUUCGUAGAUAUUCGCAAGAACACCGGUGGCGAAGGCGGCCAACUGGACCACUACUGACGCUGAGGCGCGAAAGCGUGGGGAGCAAACAGG
rnacentral:rRNA from 1 species